rnacentral:rRNA from 1 species
AGUGAACGCUGGCGGCAGGCCUAACACAUGCAAGUCGAACGGCAGCGGGUAGGAAGCUUGCUUCCUAUGCCGGCGGGUGGCGGACGGGUGAGCAACACAUCGGGAACGUACCCAGUAGUGGGGGACAACCUCGAGAAAUCGAGGCUAAUACCGCAUACGACCCACGGGUGAAAGCGGGGACCGCAAGGCCUCGCGCUAUUGGAGCGGCCGAUGUCCCGAUUAGCUUGUUGGUGGGGUAACGGCCCACCAAAGGCGACGAUCAGUAGCUGGUCUGAGAGGAUGAUCAGCCACACUGGGACUGAGACACGGCCCAGACUCCUACGGGAGGCAGCAGUGGGGAAUUUUGGACAAUGGGGGCAACCCUGAUCCAGCCAUGCCGCGUGCGGGAAGAAGGCCU